ensembl:lncRNA
GCAACGACUCCCAGGUGCCGCGGGGCCGCGGCCGGCCGGGCGCAGCUGCGCCUCGUCGGGAGCCGCGGGCGGGGCCCGCCCCAAAGCCUCUUAAGCUCCGCCGGAGGCUGCUGGGAGCCACGGAGGAGUUUCUGCGGUUCUCUGUUGGAAGCGAAAUGGACUUUGGUUUCUUUGCGCGGCUUUAGAGCUGCUGGGGUUGAGGAGCGGUAUGAGGGGCUGUUUUUAAAAUGGUGCCUUGGGGUUCUCUUUAUUGUUCUCGUUGUGUGGUUUUGUUUUAGGCUUCUGUGAGAUCUCCCGCGGUGAGGAUCAGCCCAUACCGAGGAGUGGUUCUGGUAAUAAUUGGACCGUGGAGGCGGUGAGGGCUCGGGAGCCGUGUCUCUUCGGUUGGAGCGGGAGGCUGCUGGGUUCCCGGCCCCUCUUUUUUUUUUUUUUAGGGCCGGUGCAGGGUUGCUGUCGGGUUUCCCCGGUUGUUUGCAGCCCGUUCAGCGUCGUCGCCCGGCUCUCCUCGAGUUUUUGGAGGAGGCUGCCGCUCAGAUUCCCGAGUCCUUAUGUAGCUCCGGGGUGCUGUCAGCCCCCUGCCCGGGUUGUUUUUAGCGGGUGCUUGAGUUUUUAAGCUCUCAUCAGUAGGAGCAAGCGGGAUGGGGUCGUAUUCCUGUAGCCUCGGUGCUGCUGGGAGUAGUAAGAAGCAAUGCAAAGGGCUGCUGAAACAGAAGUUUUCUCCUGUUGCAGGCUGAACAAGUGGUGCAGCAGAGCCAAAACCGGUAAGGUCGUGGAAGCAGUGAGUGUGGGGGAGUCACCUGGUAAGAUCUCUUUUCUUGGGGGCUUGGUCGGCUACCUAUGCGCCUUCGGGCUCGGCACUGUACCGCCGCUGGGCUCGGGCUCCCGCGUGGGUUUUUAGCGGGGCCGGCACGGUGCUGCCGCCCGAGACCGAGCACGGCUCCGGGGUGGCCUCUUCCCCCGGGAAGGGUUUUGUGGGUGCUCCCACCCAUCCCGUUUCCUGCGGUGGGAGUGAGCAGGUUGGAACGAUGUAUUUCUCUGCCUUUUCCUUCACGUGUAGCUUCAGGAGCACGGUUUAGGUUGCCACUGCAGAGACCUGGCAGGGCAGCUCGCACGACUGGAGUGCUGUCGUGGAUGGCUCUGUUCCUUUUAGGAAAGACAGACCGGCCAGGCGGUGGAGUCUCUCUUCGAGGGAGAGAACGGGAACGUAUCGAGCUCCACCUAGGGAUGACUGAAGAAGCAGCGGAGCAUUUGCGUGUGAGGCUGAAGAGGCAGCUGAAAGUGUUGUUCACAGCUGUGAGGCCAGUUCUCAUGGUAGACUCCAGGAGUUUCCUGCAAUGUGUCAAAGGAAAGGUACCUGAAGACUGGAGGAUAGCUGAUGUCACCACAGCCUUCAGAAAAGGUGUCAUUGCCAUGUGACCAGAAGAGAAGAAGUUUGUAAGGAGCAGUCAAGAUGGAUUCACAGAGGGGAAUUCAUGCUGGACCAAAAGGUAGUGUUGUGUGUUGUCUUGAUUGUGCAGUUAGAUGAGAGGAGGGCAGCAGACUGGAGCAACUGAUGUGCGAGAGCCCAAUUGAUGGGGAUGGGUGGUGUGUAGUAGUAUGGGGGCAAUGUGCAUGUUCUGUAACACCAGAAUUUCUGUGUAAACAGGAAGAAAGAUUUCCCUGUGAGAGGGAUGGGAGAGGGUGCUCGGGGAGGUUGUGGAGUCCAGUUCCCUGGGCCCCAUUGCAGUUGCAUGCGGGCGCUUUGCAGUGGGGCCUUGGCAUUCUGUCUGGCUGUGUGAUUGUGUUCUUGUUGCAGGGCAAAGGAGAGCUUUGCAGAGAGGAUUGGCUGGAACAGGUGUGCGCUUUUCCCAGUGGUGGGAUGAAGGAGGUUUAGGGCUGGAGGAGGGAGGACCCCAGUGGUGUGAGUGGGGUGCCCCUGUGGAGCAAGGAGAGCUGUAUGUUGUUAUCUGUGAGGGUGGAAGGUCAUGCCCUGAAGGAGGGGAGUUAAGGGAGAGUGGCCCUUUCCAGCUGGAGCUGGGGGUCCCGGUGCGGCUGAUGUCCCGUGGGGAAGAUGCAGAUCCCGGGAGCUGCGACCAGGAGGAGGAGCGGAGCCAGCAGUGGCUCCUGUGUGGUGAUGGCUGCUUAGUGGUGGUGUUCCUGGUCCUGGGCUGAAAGGAGGAGGAGGAGAAAGCUUUUAGUGCCUUACUUCAAAGCUCAGAUCACCUACUCCAACAGCACCAUGCCUCAGCCUCACUUCGCUCACCAGCUGAAAUUGCUGAGGAUGUUUCCUGUGUCUGUGUUGUUGCAGCUGAAUUUCUGCAAGGCAGCCUUUCUCAGAUGCGGUAGGGCUUCCCUGGCUUGAAGAUGUAUAUUGUACCUUGGUGUGGAAGUCUGCAGUUGUUAACUUCACUUUUAGUUAGUUAAUGUGCCAGCUGUGCUGCUGUUCAAAUGCAGCCACCUCUACAAGGCAGGAGAGAAAAAGGAGUUAAUUGACUUGAAUACAAAACUUCUCUCCUUCUGCCUUUGCUGCUACUGUGUCUCAGUGUGUUAGUAGGUUGACUCAUUAGUGCAAGGAGAUGUCUGCUGGCCUUUAAGCUGUUGCUGCUGGGGCUAACAGGCUCUGCUUUUUUCCCAGUGGGCUGGUGAAGGAGUACACUACUGAGAAGAGAGGAAAAGCUUAACAAGUAUACAAACUCAGUAAAAUGGCUGCUGUGUGUAGAAUAGGAAUGCAGCCUGUGUUGGAAGGGACCUCCCACUUGUAGCUCUGCCCCGGUCAGCCUGAACUUCAACUGCCCUCUCCAAUGGUAGUGUCCAAAUGCUUCUCCAACUCCCUCAGCCUGGGGCUGUGACUGCUGCCUGGGGAGCUUGCUCUAACUGCCCUCUGGUCCAGGGUCUUGUUGUAAUCUCCAAGGUGGCUUAAUACACGCACAUUAAUAUGCAUCUAAGUCCCUUGCCCUGGUCACUUCUAGAAAUACUGAAGUGCGUGUGCCCUGAAAUGAAGCCCCGUGGCCCCUGACGAGUGCUGGUCUGCUGGCCUCUUGCACUCCCCUUUAUUCUAACAAAUGCUUUGAGCCCCUUUUGCAGGGGGCUGAGUCACAGCUUAGCUUUUUGUUUCAGGUUUUAGGAGGAAGGGGUGUUUCAUGGUGUGAGAUUUAGUCCUCAGGCCUGCUUUCCUGACAAGGAUUUUCUUUACCUACUCCCAUGGACGAUAAAUGCUUUGAACCAGACCAGAGGACAAGAUUUCAUGCUUUGGUAACCUGGGCUUUCUCUUCCGCAGUGGGAUGUUGUAGAAACACACAGGCACAGUUUGAUAAAACAGAAAAUAGAGCAGUUACUGAAUCUGUGUCUGAACUAGAAGUUGAUGGUGUAUUCCUCUGGUAGAGGAAUGUGAAAAGAUGGGGCCUGAAGCAGGAUACCAGUAUGCGUGCCUUCCCACAACCAGAACAGCUGAGCAAGGAGUACUGUUUGCAGCUAUGAAGCCUACAAAAGCCAAAAAACCUGUGUUGGUUCACAAUGUCUUUCUUGGGCAUGCAUGUUCAGAAGAGAGCUUCCAGCAUGCAUACCCAUCCUUAUAAAGUAUCUUUCCUUAUGAACACCAGUACAGACUCCCUUUCACUGUCUCUUUUAGCUGGAGGCCUGGGCUUUGUGUGUGUGUGUUCCUCCAUCUGUGAUGAGAAGAAAAGAUUUCCUUUUUUUUUAUUUUGUGUUCAAGACAAAUGAUAAAUAAAAAUCUUCAUCCUUAACUCACAUGAGCAUUUGACUGUGAGUGGUUCCAAAAAUCUGACCUUCGUUCUCUUGUCAUUCAUGUUGCACAGCAACCAAGGAAGCUCUAGC